GACGAACCGUCCAAACGUUGUUCGGAAUCACUGGGCUUAAAGGGCGCGUAGGCGGAUGCUCAAGUCGGUGGUGAAAUCUUUCGGCUCAACCGGAAAAGUGCCGCCGAUACUGGGGAUCUCGAGGGAGGUAGGGGUCGAGGGAACUUCCGGUGGAGCGGUGAAAUGUGUAGAUAUCGGAAGGAACGCCGGUGGCGAAAGCGCUCGACUGGACCUCUGCUGACGCUGAGGCGCGAAAGCCAGGGGAGCAAACGGG
rnacentral:rRNA from 1 species